rnacentral:rRNA from 1 species
AUACGUAGGGGGCGAGCGUUGUCCGGAAUGAUUGGGCGUAAAGGGCGCGUAGGCGGCCCGGUAAGUCUGGAGUGAAAGUCCUGCUUUUAAGGUGGGAAUUGCUUUGGAUACUGUCGGGCUUGAGUGCAGGAGAGGUAAGUGGAAUUCCCAGUGUAGCGGUGAAAUGCGUAGAGAUUGGGAGGAACACCAGUGGCGAAGGCGACUUACUGGACUGUAACUGACGCUGAGGCGCGAAAGGGUGGGGAGCAAACAGGAUUAGAUACCCUGGUAGGCCACACUGUAAACGGUGAAUGCUAAGUGUAGGGGGUAUCGGCCCCUUCUGUGCCGCAGUUAACACAAUAAGCAUUCCGCCUGGGGAGUACGGCCGCAAGGUUGAAACUCAAAUGAAUUGACGGGG